GUAGUUAGUUAAUUUUUGUUCUCUUUGUAAGAGCUAGAAGAAUUGGAGGACGAGGAACGAUGCUUUGGCUUCGCUUUUGCAUCGGAGAUGGCACGUUAAAUUCCCCUAUACUCUAUAAUCUGUCCAACGAGACAGGGCAGUAAAUGCAAAUAAGACUUGAUUGUUGCGGUUGCAACUAUUGGCUACUGACUAGUGACAUUUGAGAGUUUCAUUAUUGUUUAUUAUUUUAACUGCAUGACUUUUCAAUUACAGAGUGUUAUAAUUAAUAAUUGAUAAGUGACAAUUAUCAAAUUACUACGAAACGAAAUUCAUGGAAAAUUUUAAUAGAGCAUAUAAAAUAUGAUUAGCCAAUCAAUUUUAAAUACACUUAAUAUAUUUAGGUUAUGUAUUAUAUUCAAGUACGAUCAAGUAUGGACGAUUGUAGUGCGAUAGAUCGUGAUUGUAAUCUAUAAGUAUUAAAACACAUUGUGAUUAAUUACACAUUGAUAAAAAAAUUUUGAAGAUAAUAUAAAUCAGGUUUAAUAUACAUACAAGAGAUAUAGCUGGAUAUUUUCUGUUUUAUAUAAACGUAAACAAAAAGAUUAUAUAAAAAUGGAUUAUCAGUUAUGGGUGAUUACUACUGCCUUUAUUGGUCUUCAUGUUGUGUGGUAUAAAAUACAAUGUAGAAUACCAGAAGAAGAUCGACGUCCACAUCCCUUUGUAAGAGUCUAUCAGCAGAUUAUGAAGAAAGAUAGUACAUAAUUAGAGAUAAUAUACUUGUAUAAUGUGUAAUAAAUGUUGUCAGUAUGUAAA
rnacentral:lncRNA from 1 species